GACGUAGGGCGCAAGCGUUGUCCGGAUUUAUUGGGCGUAAAGAGCUCGUAGGCGGCUCGUUGCGUCGGCUGUGAAAACCCGCAGCUCAACUGUGGGCUUGCAGCCGAUACGGGCGGGCUGGAGUUCGGUAGGGGAGACUGGAAUUCCUGGUGUAGCGGUGAAAUGCGUAGAUAUCGGGAGGAACACCAGUGGCGAAGGCGGCUUCCUGGCCUGUUCUUGACGCUGAGGCGCGAAAGCUAGGGGAGCAAACGGG
rnacentral:rRNA from 1 species